GUUUACAGGCAUACCACCCUGGACUUGGAAGCUAAGCAGAGUUGGGCCUAGUUAGCACUUGAAAGGGAGGAGUUUACCUUUGUCAAAA
rnacentral:rRNA from 1 species